rnacentral:rRNA from 1 species
AGGAAAAGAAACUAACAAGGAUUCCCCUAGUAGCGGCGAGCGAAGCGGGAAGAGCUCAAAUUUAUAAUCUGGCACCUUCGGUGUCCGAGUUGUAAUCUCUAGAAAUGUUUUCCGCGUUGGACCGCACACAAGUCUGUUGGAAUACAGCGGCAUAGUGGUGAGACCCCCGUAUAUGGUGCGGACGCCCAGCGCUUUGUGAUACAUUUUCGAAGAGUCGAGUUGUUUGGGAAUGCAGCUCAAAUUGGGUGGUAAAUUCCAUCUAAAGCUAAAUAUUGGCGAGAGACCGAUAGCGAACAAGUACCGUGAGGGAAAGAUGAAAAGCACUUUGGAAAGAGAGUUAACAGUACGUGAAAUUGUUGGAAGGGAAACGCUUGAAGUCAGACUUGCUUGCCGAGCAAUCGGUUUGCAGGCCAGCAUCAGUUUUCCGGGAUGGAUAAUGGUAGAGAGAAGGUAGCAGUUUCGGCUGUGUUAUAGCUCUCUGCUGGAUACAUCUUGGGGGACUGAGGAACGCAGUGUGCCUUUGGCGGGGGUUUCGACCUCUUCACACUUAGGAUGCGGGAAUGGAAUGGCUUUAAACGACCC